GUCCCUGAGCAGCUCCAUUUUGCCACCCAGCUAUGCUUCAGAUCGCCUGUCAGGAAACAACAGGGACCCUGCUCUGAAACCCAAGCGGUCCCACCGCAAGGCAGAUCCUGAUGCUGCCCACAGGCCCCGGAUCCUGGAGAUGGACAAGGAAGAGAACCGGCGCUCAGUGCUGCUGCCCACCCGACGAAGGGGUAGCUUCAGCUCUGAGAACUACUGGCGCAAGUCCUAUGAGUCCUCGGAGGACUGCUCAGAGGCAGCAGGAAGCCCUGCCCGAAAGGUGAAGAUGCGGAGGCACUGAGGCCUACUCACCACCCUCCUGGGAACUCUGCCUUCUCCUCACAUAGCUGCCCCUCCUUUUGUUUUGUUUUGAGGGUUUGUUUGUUUUUGUUUUUGAUCCUAUAUAUUUUUUCCCUGAUUCAUUGCCCAUUAAGGCUGAAGAGCAGAAUUGCCCUGGAAUUGACCUGGGUUCUCAUGUUCUUGGCUUUCUUCUUGGAAAGGCUGUUGGUGUUUGUCGGGGGCAGAGGCUCAUGCUGGAGUAGCCAGUCAAGGUUUGGGGGGCAGCCAUCUUCAAGUGGGGCUGGAUUUAUUUAAAAGCAAGAAAUUGUUUUGGUUAAGAAAUUUUCGUUCUUUGCUUUACACAUAAAUCUUUGCAGUGUUCUAAACAAAGUUCAGUUUCCUGCCUGCCCCUUUUCCUCCACUGAUGUCUGCCCUUGGUUGAGGUCUCCUGGAACUAGGCUUUCUCUGGAUGGGGCUGUUUCCCCAUCUCUCACCUAUUCUCCAUCCUCUGGAAGGUCAUGCAGAUACCUUCCUUUUUUCCUGUGGCAGAACUGUCUGGGUUGGCGGGGGGUGGAGGGCUUAAACUGAGUCCCUGGCACCCCAAAGCUAGUGCUGAGCCCUCUGGGGUUCCUCCAUACUCUUCUUGGGCUGCCAAAGGCUAGCACAGUGGUCCUGACUUCUCUUGGCAAGAGCACGCCUCUUUGCUGGGUCGCUCCUUUCAAGCACAUGUGUGUAAUUGUAUGGAAGUUAGACUUGCCAUGUUGGGUCAUUUUAGGAGUUGUUUCUAGCUAGAGGGACCGAUGUCCUUCCAAGUCUAGCAUUUGCAGUAUGGGAAAUCAUUGUGGUGUAUGGUAGGGUUUUUAUUUUCUUUUUGAGUUUUUAUUUUUUCCUUUGGUCUCUUGGCUUUCUCCUUUUCCUUUCCCCUCCAUUGGUCAGGUUGGACCUCUUCCCAAUGUCAUCCCUCUUAAGAAGGUGUAACCCCUUCUGUUUGCCUGCAGCAUGCAUCCAAGGCCAGAGCUCAGGCCUGCAGACUGGGUUGGUGCCUUCUCUGCCUCAGGGGCAUCGGAGCUGAGGAAGGGGCUUCUAAAAAAUAACAAAGAAAAAAAGGUGAGGUCUUGGCAGUUUCUACCUACUCAGAUCCUAGAAGGCUGCAAAGUUUUGCUGAUCUAGAUUCAUUAGGAAUGUGACCUUGCCAGUCUGGCCAGGGCCUGUCAGAAACAGAGACCCUUCUGGCAGCCAAGCCACCAUCAGUCUAGAGGGCUUUGCAUAGAGUCCCCAGCCUGAGACCUCAGAUGCUGCAGGAAUCUGGGGCAUCCACCAUCAAGAAGCCCUUCUCUGGGGCCAGAACUCCUUUGCCAGCGUGAAUUCCUCAAUUUGGGACUGCAUAACUAAAAGCAGUGGCAGUUUUAUUUUUUUUACAGCUUUUUUCCCAAAAAUGAUUUGUAGUUGUGUGUGCAGCACUUUGCCCUGAUAUGUGUGCUCUACAAUAAAAACCAAAUCUAAUAUAUUUUGAAA